rnacentral:rRNA from 1 species
UCUCCUACGGGGGGCAGCAGUGGGGAAUAUUGGGCAGUGGGCGCAAGCCUGACCCAGCAACGCCGCGUGAAGGAAGAAGGCUUUCGGGUUGUAAACUUCUUUUGUCAGGGACGAAGCAAGUGACGGUACCUGACGAAUAAGCCACGGCUAACUACGUGCCAGCAGCCGCGGUAAUACGUAGGUGGCAAGCGUUAUCCGGAUUUACUGGGUGUAAAGGGCGUGCAGCCGGGCUGACAAGUCAGAUGUGAAAUCCCGCGGCUCAACCGCGGAACUGCAUUUGAAACUGUCAGUCUUGAGUACCGGAG